rnacentral:lncRNA from 1 species
GCUGCGCGACUCCAGCUCCAUUAAGCUCCGCAACCACCUUCUUCCAUCUUUCCCCUCCUCGCGUCUCGGGCGCGCUGCCGCCGCUACCUCUCUCUCUGCCACGCACCGCAGCCACACCGCGAGCCACUGACACUCCCUUGCAGUUGCCCAGCUCCUCUCGCCUCCGCGCGCGCAGCUCCUCUCCACCUCCACCCCGCGCCAACGGCACCAGCAGCGGCAGCGCUCCACUGCUGUCCGCCGAUCUCUCUCUCUCUCAACCCACGCCACUCAUGAAGCCGCGGCUCUCCAAACGCCGCCGCUUUCCACCUGAGCGUCGCAAGCUACUGAGUCCCUUGCCGCACCUUCGCUCCAUGUAGUCAUCGAGGUGGAGGUAUUCGUCUAACUCCUGUUCUUUAACAUGUCCAGCAGCCCGUGUUGGUAAUUUUUCAAUUUUAAGUGCAUAGGGCAAUUUUGGAGUCAUUUGGGAUUUAUUUUGCCGCUUCAGUUAUUGCGUAAAUUGAAGUGAAUUGUUGGACUACUAUGGGCAUCCACUGAGCGCUGCUUCACUUGGGUUUUUGUUGAAAUUUUUGCUGAUUCGGUUGGCUAGUUGAGAUUUUUCAUUUACUAGAGUUUACCCCCAGUGGUACUGGUGGGAAUAUUUUAAAUUGAAUCUGUUACCUCUAAUUGGUUGGCUGAGUUCUUAUUGACAAAUUUCUAAGCUGUCGUAGUUGCAUUUGCUGGUUUUGACUUAUCAUUGCCUGGCCAACUGGAACCAUCUGUUGAGAUUUUGGGUGGACCUACAUACUGCAAUUGUCUAUUGAUAUUUGGGUGAUUUGGUUCUGCUACUGCCUGUUGAUUUGGAAACCUGGUUGCUUGAUUUACUUGUUGAGAUUGGUAGUUUUCAGUUGAGUUGUUGGGGCGCUCUAGCUGUUGGUUUCUAUUAUUGAUUUGGAGGGACAUUGUUAGUGAUUUGGGUUGCCUGUUUGCAUUGUUUCUUACCUAUGUGUGCAUCAGUGGCAUUGGUUGGGAUGUUUUGACUAGCAUUUGUUAUUUCUAUUUGGUUGGCUGCCUGAUUGGGAACUAAGUGCUUGUCAUUGUGUGGUUAUUAUCAAAUUUCUAAACUGCUUUUGCUGGAAUUGCCGAUUUUGAGUUAAGAAAUUAACAGUCCAAUUGGAGACAUUUAUUAAGAUUUUGGGAUGGGCAAGUUUUGUCAGCUUUUAUGCAGAAAUUUGGCAGCAUUUAUGCAGCACACCGGAAUUUCUCCUUAAUUUCUGCCUAACCCUCAACUAUUUUGACGACUCCAGGGAAGUACCGUUGCCCUUCUCCUUCCUUUUGUUGUUAGUUUAUCACAUUGAGGGCAAUGUGUGAUUUAGGUGUGGGGGGGAGCAAAUGGGGGGUGCUAGCGUUUCUAGUUUUUAGGUGUUAUUUAUUUAUUUAUUUAUUUUUCUCAUAUUUUUUUCCUUUCUUUCUUUUUAGUUUGUUAUUUGGCCAUCUUUCGUGUAUUUCCUUUCUUUCUUUUUAGUGAUUAGUUCACAUGUGCAUGCCAAGGUUUGAUGUUGGAUUGUUGCCCCUAUUUCUACUUUUGCCUAGUUUUAAUAAUAAAAAUGUAUCGAGUUAAUGUGGUUGAAUCCAAGAGCAUUUCUUUGGUGAAUAUCAGUGAUUAUGUAGCUCUUUUAAUUUUUGGUUAACUUCUCUAAGCAUAGGAAAUAAUUGUUGGCAUUUUCAUGUGAAUUGGUCCAAUGAUUAAUUUUAGUUCUCUAUGUUUGAAAAAUGAGGUUAGCUGACGCAAAUUUUCUUUUGAUUUUUUGUGUUAUUUUGAGUUUCUGAUGUUAUUUAACUGUGAAUAAGAGUUGGCUGUACUCCGCUAGUCUUUACUACCGAGUAACCGGGGAUCUUCACCAAAAAUGUCGAUUCUCGCGUAAAAAAGUACUAAUUGCUAUGAGUACGUGGUUACGUGGCGAUAGAAACUGAGUAAUCGGGCUCUUUCAUCUGACAAAUGUCGGAGUUCGCGUCAAAAGGCUCCAAUGGCUAGCGACUAAGUCUUUUAUUACUAUUGAGAACAGCAAAAAAAAAAAGAGGGAAAAAAUCAAAAAAAAAGAGAAGAGAAAAGUAGACAAAUGUGAUAAAAAAAGUGAAGGUUGUGUUAGUGUAUAAAAAUAGUCAUCUCGCCGAUUUAUAGAUUUAAUGUUGAGAUUUUGGUUAAUAGUUGGACCAUUUGCUGAUAAAUGUUGUGCGUCAUUCCAUUUUCUUAGAUUAGUUAACCUGAAAUUGGAGGAGUUUGUGAUUUAGAAACUAACCAGAGUGAUGUUUCUUGGAUCUUGAUCACUAAUGCUUGAUAUAUAUUUUUCUUGAUAUUUUGGCAAUAUGGUGGAUAGGGCAAUAGUCUUUGUCAAAUAUUGAUGUUUGUUUGUUGUUCUCAUGUUUGAGGACAAGCAUGGUUUAGGUUUGGGGGGAAUUGAUCGGUUGCAAUUUUAUCAUUUAUUUUAUUAUUAAUUUUUCCUAUUACCUGAUUUGAUGUGGAUUAAUUAUUAGAUUCUACUCACUUUUCGUAAUUUACAUUCAUUUCAGGAAGUAGAGCAAAAAUAUCAUAAUAAAUGUCAAUUUGACAGUUAUCAGGAAAGAAUUCAAGUAGCAAGCAUCCAGGGUAUUUUUGGAAGAGGGGGACACAAGUCCUUUUUGGUAAUUUGCGGAAGAAAAGGAACGAAGGACUGGAGUCUUCUUCUCCCUCUAGGGAGAGAGCCGCCGCGCAGCAUAGAGAGACUAAUUAGAUACGAAAUGGAAUGGCAAUUGAUGAGCACUAGCUGGACGUUUUAGCCUUUGACUUUUCUUAGUUGUUUAGUUUUUAGUACUUACCUUUUCAUUCCGUGGAUGGGAGGAACAAUUAGGAAAACAUUGAAUCAUCUCCUGCUCCUUUGUUUUUCUUUAUCCCUUUGACUAAAUUUAAUUUGCCCAUCUUUCAUUUGAUGGCCGCGGCUCUUUCGCCAAUUUUGUGUGGGCUUUGUUCAGUAAGAAUGAACUAAUUUCCCUUGUCUAGUCAAGGGACAACGG